rnacentral:rRNA from 1 species
GAUGAACGCUGGCGGCGUGCUUAACACAUGCAAGUCGAACGAAGACAUCUGAGUGCUUGCACUUGGAUGGACUGAGUGGCGGACGGGUGAGUAACGCGUGGGUAACCUGCCUUAUACAGGGGGAUAACAGUUGGAAACGACUGCUAAUACCGCAUAAGCGCACGGUAUCGCAUGAUACAGUGUGAAAAACUCCGGUGGUAUAAGAUGGACCCGCGUCUGAUUAGCUUGUUGGUGAGGUAACGGCCCACCAAGGCGACGAUCAGUAGCCGGCCUGAGAGGUGAACGGCCACAUUGGGACUGAGACACGGCCCAAACUCCUACGGGAGCAGCAGUGGGGAAUAUUGCACAAUGGGGGAAACCCUGAUGCAGCACGCCGUCGUGAGUGAUGAAGUAUUUCGGGAAUGUAAAAACUCUAUCAAGCAGGGAANAUAAUGACGGUACCUGACUAAGAAGCAACCGGCUAAAAUACGUGCCAGCAGUCC